GCUUGAUGCUUUUAAUAAGAGAACAUGAAGACAGAUCCUUCAGGAGCCCCUGCCUAAAGGACGGGGGCAGGAGAGUCACUCAAAGAGGAGAUGACAAAUAUUUCCUCAGAUCCAAGCAACUGAACAGAGCCAGGAACUAAUCCAAAGGAGGCCUUCACAGAGUCCUGCCUACCCACUAAAGCAGAGUGUGGCAGGGUUGGUGUGAGCUGGAGGAGGUGUUGAUGUUGCAAGUCAACUUGUGCUGUAGCCUCAGUCCUACUUUCAGGCAUGAAGGCCCAGGAGGUAGAGAGCGCUGUACUCUCAACAUGUCCAAACACAGACCCAUGCAGGGGACCCCCAGAUCUGAGCCUCUCGCCAUGGUCUAUGUCUCAGUGAGUGGUAUUAGUAUCCAUCCAAUCACGAAGGAAUGAAACCAAAACAUGACUCAUGACCUCACCCUCUUCCUCACCCUCAGUAAUAGGUCCACCAAAUCAUGUCAGUGAUGAACAUCUUCAAACCUUCUUUCUUUUCUUCUUUCUGCCACCACCACAGCUGCACAGUGCCACACUGCCUCCCUCCCAGACUACAGCAGUAGCUUUCUAACUGUUCCCUUCACACCCAUCCCAGCCUGUCUCAGUCCCCUCCCAACCCAGCCACCAGAAUGAUCUUUCCAUCUGUAGAGAUGUACAGAGUUUGGCGCAGCAACUCUCUUCACGUAAGAGGAAUUUUUUGAAAAGUCUCUGGGGGUUGACGCUUAGAUCCUAAGAGCCCUCAAGUGUCGGGUGGAGGUGAGAAGGAUUUGCUGGUUGUGCUAUAAGUUGGAAAAGAAAAAGAAAGGGUGGAAGGGGAGGUGAUGUGAGGCCAUGUGGUUGUGAUAGGUCCCCCAGCAUCCCCCACACUGACCUUCAGUAAAAAACUCAGAAAAUAACAAAAUGCUUAACGAAACCUGAUUUCCCAUGGGAAUCAGUGAAAGGCCUGGGCUUUGGGUCUAGACCAAUAGUGAGCGGAGACAGAGACAGUGGCUUAGGGAUGGCAGAGUGUGGAUUGGGAAGGAGGCAGGUGUGGGGAGGCUCCGAAGCAGCACACACAGAUGCAGAUAGGACAGAACUGUAGGAGGCUCUUAAAACUGGAGGAGGGCUUUGACUGUUUCAGUUCUGAGGAAUCUAGGUGCAGGCCAAGAUUAACCAGUCCUGAUGGGGGUCCCAGUUGGCAUCUGAAUUACACGUCUAUAUGAUAAUAAUAUGAAUAGACACCAUUUAUUCAGCAGUGUGCUAUGGUUUUUUUUAUAUGUAGUAUCUCAUUUGAUUCUAUUUUCAUAAAAACUGCAAGGGGUAAGUAUUAUUAUUGCCUUACUUUACGAGGUUCCAUCCUGUUAUAAUCUAAGUUCGUUUUCUCUCCAUUUUUAAGAUAAACAAUAACUGUAGGGCGGCAUAAAGUUCCCUGAACCACACAACAAAGAAAGUUAAAAGAUGCAAAAGGUAAUCACCGAAAAGGAAACUGAAGUGCAGAGACCCUGGCAGCCUGGCUCCUGAGCCUAUGCUCUUGGCCACUGUAUGUUCUCAAUCUCUCUUCCCUCCCCUCCUCUUCCCUCCUUUCUUAUCUUCUUCCAUCUAUCCACUCAUCCAUCCAUCCAUCCAUCAAGCCUCCAUCCAUCUAUCCAACUAUAUUUCUGACCAUAUCUCUCUCUAUAUAUACAUAGUUGGAGAAACAUAUGUAUCUCCAACUAUAGAGAUAAUUCCUCUUUAGGUGGGAGGUUGAAUUACAGAACCUAAAAGUUUCCUUUCCGUUCUCAAGUUCUCUGAGGUUUAGUUUAUUUUAGACUAUAUUUUGAUUAUUUUUGGCAGGUGUUUAUCUUCCUAACUUGUUUGGAUUUACCGAAACAUACAUUUCAGGGCUAGCAUGGAUCUAGGAGAAAGACCAAGUCCCUCAUGUUGAGAGUGAGAAGAAGUGACCCACUAAAUCUCACCUGGUCCAGGCCUCUGCCUGUUUCACAUUAUUUUGAAUUCUGGAUACGUGGCAAGUGGUGAUAAGGACAACAAUCCAACUAGGUAAUGAGUAAGAGAGAGUGACAGCCUGGAAUUAGAGUGUAAUCUGUUUUUACCACAUGUGUAUGCUAACAGUCAGUGAUGAUUGUGACAGUGGUCAUGACUCCAGCAAUUCACAGGUCCCUACACCUGAAGAGAUUUAGAGACCUCAUCCAAUGUACUUCUUGCCUCCUGAUAACUAAUGCCUGAUUCAUUCCAGAGAUGAACAAAUUUAAAAGAACGUGCUAUUUAAAAUAAAAAAAAGGAAUUUUAAAACCUUUUCUAGCUUUUAUUUCUUUCUGAGGAGUUCCCUCCUGUUAUAUGCUUAUUUUUUUUACCUUCAUUUUAAAAAUAAAUAACUGUAGAACAGCAUAUAGUUCUCUGAACCACACAGCAAAAGAAAGUAAAAGGAAGCAAAAAGAAGCUUGCUCUAUGGUCAUGGGCAGUAAGAGACUGAUGAUACAGGAGAAGUUGGAUUUGAGGAUAUGAAAGCUGGAAACAGCUGGUUCAGGCUGCACCGGAACACACACAUUACACCCAUGCCAAUUGCUGUCUUUUCAAACUCCAGGAAGCCUGGCAUGGGUGAAGCUGAGUCACGUGGAGGCUGUGCCGAAGCCUGGUUGUGCCGUAAGUUUUGUGUGCAGCAGGCUCUAUCUUUCUCUCAGAAGUGAGUUGGGUGAGCCCUUGGUAUCCAACCCUCCCUACAGUCACCUCCUUUGAGAAGAAAAAAAUAAGACCCAGAAGGUAGUAUUAUC
rnacentral:lncRNA from 1 species